UACCAUGCAGUCGAGCGGUAGAGAGAAGCUUGCUUCUCUUGAGAGCGGCGGACGGGUGAGUAAUGCCUAGGAAUCUGCCUGGUAGUGGGGGAUAACGCUCGGAAACGGACGCUAAUACCGCAUACGUCCUACGGGAGAAAGCAGGGGACCUUCGGGCCUUGCGCUAUCAGAUGAGCCUAGGUCGGAUUAGCUAGUUGGUGAGGUAAUGGCUCACCAAGGCGACGAUCCGUAACUGGUCUGAGAGGAUGAUCAGUCACACUGGAACUGAGACACGGUCCAGACUCCUACGGGAGGCAGCAGUGGGGAAUAUUGGACAAUGGGCGAAAGCCUGAUCCAGCCAUGCCGCGUGUGUGAAGAAGGUCUUCGGAUUGUAAAGCACUUUAAGUUGGGAGGAAGGGCAUUAACCUAAUACGUUGGUGUCUUGACGUUACCGACAGAAUAAGCACCGGCUAACUCUGUGCCAGCAGCCGCGGUAAUACAGAGGGUGCAAGCGUUAAUCGGAAUUACUGGGCGUAAAGCGCGCGUAGGUGGUUCGUUAAGUUGGAUGUGAAAUCCCCGGGCUCAACCUGGGAACUGCAUUCAAAACUGACGAGCUAGAGUAUGGUAGAGGGUGGUGGAAUUUCCUGUGUAGCGGUGAAAUGCGUAGAUAUAGGAAGGAACACCAGUGGCGAAGGCGACCACCUGGACUGAUACUGACACUGAGGUGCGAAAGCGUGGGGAGCAAACAGGAUUAGAUACCCUGGUAGUCCACGCCGUAAACGAUGUCAACUAGCCGUUGGGAGCCUUGAGCUCUUAGUGGCGCAGCUAACGCAUUAAGUUGACCGCCUGGGGAGUACGGCCGCAAGGUUAAAACUCAAAUGAAUUGAC
rnacentral:rRNA from 1 species